rnacentral:rRNA from 1 species
GACGAACGCUGGCGGCGUGCUUAACACAUGCAAGUCGAACGGUGAAGCGCCUUCCUUUUUGGUGGGUGUGGAUGAGUGGCGAACGGGUGAGUAACACGUGAGUAACCUGCCCCCUUCUUCUGGAUAACCGCAUGAAAGUGUGGCUAAUACGGGAUAUUCUGGGUCUGUCGCAUGAUGGGUCUGGGAAAGAUAUUGUUUCGGUGGGGGAUGGGCUCGCGGCCUAUCAGCUUGUUGGUGGGGUGAUGGCCUACCAAGGCGGUGACGGGUAGCCGGCGUGAGAGGGUGGGCGGUCACACUGGGACUGAGACACGGCCCGGACUCCUACGGGGGGCAGCAGUGGGGAAUAUUGCCCAAUGGGGGCAAGCCUGAUGCAGCGACGCCGCGUGAGGGAUGGAGGCCUUCGGGUUGUGAACCUCUUUCGCCAGUGAAGCAGGCCUGCCUCGUUUGUGGGUGGGUUGACGGUAGCUGGAUAAGGAGCGCCGGCUAACUACGUG